rnacentral:tRNA from 1 species
AAAGGGAGACCUAAUUCAGGUAGGAGACGAAAAAAAAGUAGUCGCUACCAAGAAUCAAUCCCAAAAGGUCGGAGCGAGGCGAAAUUGGCCUUCAAACUAGGUUCUGGGUUCACACAAGACCUGAAUCAGGAACAAGGGCUAUUAGCUCAGGUGGUUAGAGCGCACCCCUGAUAAGGGUGAGGUCCCUGGUUCGAGUCCAGGAUGGCCCACCUGCACAGGUGGCAAAAACAAGAGAAGCUCCGAAUCAGCACCUUAUCUUACUGACAUAGUAAGAGAGAAUGCUGGCUCUGAGUAAAGAGUCCAGAGGAACCUUGAAAACUGCAUAGAGCUAGGUGAAAAAGCCAAAAAAGAAGACCGCAAG